UACGUAGGGGGGCUAGCGUUGUCCGGAUUUAUUGGGCGUAAAGAGCGUGUAGGCGGCCAGGUAGGUCUGCUGUGAAAAACUCGAGGCUCAACCUCGAGACGUCGGCGGAAACCAUCUGGCUAGAGUCCGGAAGAGGAGAGUGGAAUUCCUGGGUGUAGCGGUGAAAUGCGCAGAUAUCAGGAAGAACACCCGUGGCGAAGGCGGCUCUCUGGGACGGUACUGACGCUGAGACGCGAAAAGCGUGGGGGAGCGAACAGG
rnacentral:rRNA from 1 species